GGGCCUAUAGCUCAGUUGGCUAGAGCGCGUCCCUGAUAAGGACGAGGCGGUUGGUUCGACUCCAACUAGGCCCACCA
rnacentral:tRNA from 1 species